GGGCGCGAUCAUACCAGCACUAAAACACCGAAUUCC
rnacentral:rRNA from 1 species